AAUGAACGCUGGCGGCGUGCUUAACACAUGCAAGUCGAGCGGGAAAGUCGACUUCGGUCGAUGAGUAAAGCGGCGAACGGGUGAGUAACACGUGGGUAACCUGCCUAGAAGUGGGGGAUAACCUGGGGAAACUCGGGCUAAUACCGCAUACGACCGCGGCACUGCGGUGCUGUGAGGAAAGCUGGUCAAUGCUUGCAAACUGGCGCUUUUAGAGGGGCCCGCGCCCGAUUAGGUAGUUGGUGAGGUAACGGCUCACCAAGCCGACGAUCGGUAGCCGGCCUGAGAGGGCGAUCGGCCACACUGGGACUGAGACACGGCCCAGACUCCUACGGGAGGCAGCAGUGGGGAAUAUUGGACAAUGGGGGCAACCCUGAUCCAGCAACGCCGUGUGGAGGACGAAGGUUUUCGGAUCGUAAACUCCUGUCAGUUGGGACGAAAAGCUGUCGGUCAAUAGCCGGCAGUCAUGACGGUACCAGCAGAGGAAGCCCCGGCUAACUCCGUG
rnacentral:rRNA from 1 species